UACGAAGGGGGCUAGCGUUGCUCGGAAUCACUGGGCGUAAAGGGCGCGUAGGCGGCUCUUUAAGUCGGGGGUGAAAGCCCAGGGCUCAACCCUGGAAUUGCCUUCGAUACUGAAGAUCUCGAGACCGGGAGAGGUAAGUGGAAUUGCGAGUGUAGAGGUGAAAUUCGUAGAUAUUCGCAAGAACACCAGUGGCGAAGGCGGCUUACUGGUCCGGUUCUGACGCUGAGGCGCGAAAGCGUGGGGAGCAAACAGG
rnacentral:rRNA from 1 species